rnacentral:rRNA from 1 species
CAAAGGUAGCAUAAUCAUUAGAGCUUUAACUGGAAUAUAAUAUGAAGGGUUUGACAAAGGAAGAACUGUCUUUGAAAUAUAAAAUGAAAUUUACCUUUAAGUGAAAAGGCUUUAAUAUGUCAAAGGGGCGAUAAGAUCCUAUAAAACCUUAUAAGUAUUUUUUUUUGUGGUAAAAUUGAGUUUACUUAUCUUUUUUUUAUUGGGGUGAUGUGAGUAUAAUUGUUGUUAUUAAAAAUUCUAAUGUAGAAGAAUCAUUAGUUCAUGACCCCUUUGAAUAUUAAAAUACCAAGUUACUUUAGGGAUAACAGUGUUAUUUCAUUUGAGAGUUCAUAUCGAAAAAGAAGAUUCCGAAUUCGAUGUUGAUUUAAAAUAUCUAUAUAAUGCAUUCGUUAUAAAAGAAGGUCUCUUUGACUUUUGAAUUUUUACAUGAUUUGAUU